UUUGAAAAUAUGAAUGACAGGGAAAACAGCUGUCCAUGAUCUUCUUGAGGAGCCAAUUAAGGAAAUUACCUGUUUAUAAGUCCCUAGAUGUUUCUGCCACUACAAGCAAGAUUGCACCCUGUUGUCAUCUUAUGCACCAUGCUAAGACUUAUGUCCUUAAAAGAGCUGUUAUUUCUGUGUCCAGGUUCACAGUUUUGUUCUUUUGCAUAGUGAGCAGAAGUUCGGAUAACUCGACUUAGGGCAGGAAUUAAUCUUCCUUCUCCUGUGGUUGGGAAGGGGAAAGGGAGAAGAAGGAUGAAUAAAUAUGUCAGUUUUAAAAUAAGUUGCCAGUGGUCUAGCAGCAAAGCAUGAAGUGGACUCCAUUUUGUGAAAGGGACCCCUGUUACAGUCACACUUAAUAAAUGGUCACUUCUUUCAUCACCAAAAACCCAUUUCUGAUGUUGAUUAUAUUAAUUAGCAAAGCAUUGUUCAUUGUUUGAGCUAUGCCUAAGACCAGCCCUGUGGAGAAUGAGCUACCUGAUGAACAUAUUAGCCCCCCACUCGUGGAUUGUGAAUUCUUCACUGCCAUGUUAGCAGACCACCCCAGGCUGGCAUUCUUGAUUUGAAGACUUAUGAGGACUAAAUUAUGACUUAAAUAACAUAAUAAUGCUCAAGUAGAUAUAGUAAAUUGAAAAUUUUACAGUAUUUACUUAGGACUUGUUAAAAAGAAUUAUAGAAUAUUUAACAUAAGGCUUGCCUACAGUAAUAUCUCAGUAAAUAGCAGAUUUUAUUUACUAUUUUGUUUAUAAGCAGUGUCAGAUUUAUUGUAUUUUGGGCUGGGGUUGUAGCUCAGUGGUAGAGCACUUGCCUAGCAAAUCCAUUUUGUUCUAUCUGUUAAUAUAACAUUCACUAAAAUUACACCUUUCUCUGCUACACAGAUUCUCACCAUGGUUAACACUUAGGUUUCUAGAGCCUUGCAAAUGUGCUUUCCCCAGCUAAUCCACACAAUACCCACCCCACACCCUUUUUUUGUUGUUGUUGUUAUUUUUUGUUUGUUUCUUAUUGCUAAUAACCAGUAGUUCAGUAGGCUGAGGCAGUUAGGGGUGCUAACUCUGAGAUGGCUGGCUGCGGAACUCAUUCUUGAUUGCUCUAUGAUAUGUUCUUAUUAUAUAGGACUGAUGGGACAACUUGAUUAAACAUCAUUUCUUUUUAAAAGGGCAUCCUUGAGGGCUGUGAUUGUGACUCAGCGGUAGAGCACUCGCCUAGCAUGUGUGAGGCCCUGGAUUCGAUCCUUAGCGCCACAUAAAAAUAAAUAAAAAUACAGGCAUUGUGUCCAUCUACAACAACAACAAAAAAAAUUUUUUUUAAUUUUUUUUUUUUUUACCUUUUAAAAAAGAGUCAGAAUAUCUGCAGGUCUUUUUGUUAUCUGAAGCUCAG
rnacentral:lncRNA from 1 species